rnacentral:rRNA from 1 species
AACGGAGUAGACUAACAGGAUUCCCCUAGUAACUGCGAGUGAAGCGGGAAAAGCUCAAAUUUGAAAUCUGGCGGUCUUUGGCCGUCCGAGUUGUAGUCUGGAGAAGCGUUUUCCGUGCCGGACCGUGUACAAGUCCUCUGGAACGGGGCGUCGUAGAGGGUGAGAAUCCCGUCUUUGACAUGGACUACCGGUGCUUUGCGAUGCGCUCUCGAAGAGUCGAGUUGUUUGGGAAUGCAGCUCAAAAUGGGUGGUGAAUUCCAUCUAAAGCUAAAUAUUGGCGAGAGACCGAUAGCGAACAAGUACCGUGAGGGAAAGAUGAAAAGCACUUUGGAAAGAGAGUUAAACAGUACGUGAAAUUGUUGAAAGGGAAACGCUUGAAGUCAGUCGCGUCGUCCAGGAUUCAGCCUUGAGGGCUUCUCUCGGUGUACUUUCUGGUUCGACGGGCCAGCAUCGAUUUUGACCGUCGGACAAAGGCUGGGGAAAUGUGGCACCUUUCGGGGUGUGUUAUAGUCCCUCGUCGGUAUAUGACGGUCGGGAUCGAGGAACUCGGCACGCCUUUCAUGGUCGGGGCUCUCGGGCCCACGCCUCGUGCUUAGGAUGCUGGCGUAAUGGCUUUAAACGACCCGUCUUGAAACACGGACCAAGGAGUCUAACAUGCCCGCGAGUGUUAGGGUGGAAAACCCUUGCGCGUAACGAAAGUGAAAGUCGGGACCUUCGAGAGGAGGGCACCGAUGCCCGGACCAGACCUUUCUGGUGACGAUCCCCGGUUGGAGCGUGCAUGGUGGGGACCGAAAGAUGGUGAACUAUUGCCUGAAUAGGGUGAAGCCAGAGAAACUCUGGUGGAGCUCGUAGCGAUCUGACGUGCAAAUCGAUCGUCGAUUUGGGUAUAGGGCGAAGACUAUCGACAUCUAGUAGCUGUUCUGCGAGUCCUCAAGAUAGCGAGCUCGUAGAUCGAUUAUGUGUUAAGCGAAUGAUAGAGCUGGUCA